GAUUGGGUGACCAGCACUGGACACUCAACAUCAACUGAAGACACAGAUUUGAGGUAUUGUCAUUUACUGAGGUAGCUUCAAAGUGGAAUGUUGCUUUUAAUAGAUCACAGUGCUGCAUCAAAGGAGGGCAGACAGGAAAAUUUACAUAUUUACAAUUCUUAGGAGCAUUUUCUUGGGAAACUCAAAUCCACGGGCUGAUCUUGACCGUCUGUCUCCUCAGUUCUGCUCCCUGACAAGGCCCCCACAGGUCGUGUGCACAGGAUGGCCCUUGGACACCACGCAGAGCCUGCCCGGGUGCCUGAGUCCCCUCCUGCCCCCUCUCCUGAAGCAGAGAUGUCCCCAGUGGUGAAUCAAUCUUCCCUCAACACCUACAACCUAGAACUCUAUGUCAUGAGUUCCUGAGAGUAAAUAUCUAAUGCAGAAAUGUCUUUUUUUAAUUGAGGGAGAGGGAGAAGCAGCCACAAAACAGAGUUGGGAUCCCUCCCUGCUAGCGAAUGUGCAGGUACAGCAGGGACUAUCUUUGGCACUCUUUGUGCUUUAGUGGGUAUACUGGCUCCUACACAGCUAUAGUUUUGAACCCAGCAACCAGGGAAGGAUGGGACAGAGCCCCAAGCAACGGACCCAAGUGGAUGAAGUGGAGGCAAAGGUCUACAGAAGGCUCAUGUCAGCUAUAAAUUCCAUCAAGUUACCAACCAGUUCAGUGAGU